rnacentral:rRNA from 1 species
UACGUAGGGUGCGAGCGUUAAUCGGAAUUACUGGGCGUAAAGCGUGCGCAGGCGGUUUUUUAAGACAGAUGUGAAAUCCCCGGGCUCAACCUGGGAACUGCAUUUGUGACUGGAAGACUAGAGUACGGCAGAGGGGGGUAGAAUUCCACGUGUAGCAGUGAAAUGCGUAGAUAUGUGGAGGAAUACCGAUGGCGAAGGCAGCCCCCUGGGUCGAUACUGACGCUCAUGCACGAAAGCGUGGGGAGCAAACAGG